AUGACACUGAAGACUAAAUAUCCUCUGCCCGUGAUAGAUGAAUUGCUCGAUGAAUUAUCAGGCGCCUCAUGGUUUUCCAAAUUGGACCUUCGUGCUGGGUAUGAUCAGAUCCGUUUGGCUCCCGGGGAAGAAUACAAGACAACCUUUCAUACACACAAUGGUCACUAUGAGUUUAAUGUGGUAUCGUUUGGGCUGACGGGAGGGCCAUCUACAUUCCAAGGAGAGAUGAAUGUUACUCUAGCGCCCGUGGAUCAUGACUGUGCAGUCGUAUUCUUUGAUGAUAUACUGGUGUUCAGUGCUACCUUAGAGGAACAUGUGCAACACCUCAAGCAAGGUUUGCAACUACUUAGGCAGCAUCAGUGGAGAGUUAAAGAGUCAAAGUGUGCAUUCGCCCAGCGUAGCAUAUCCUAUCUGGGUUUGUGGUCAGUGGGAACAGAGUGUCAAUAG
rnacentral:rRNA from 1 species